UAAAGAGUUCUAUAACUCCCAAACCCAUGUGAACAUACCUAACGUUGCCUCGGCAGGUCGCACCUACCUUGUAGCACCCUACCCUGUAGGGCCUACCCGGGAGGUGCGGGUAAGCCUGCCGGCGGCCCACCAAACUCUGUUUGAUAUUGAAUUCUGAACAUAUAACUAAAUAAGUUAAAACUUUCAACAACGGAUCUCUUGGUUCUGGCAUCGAUGAAGAACGCAGCGAAAUGCGAUAAGUAAUGUGAAUUGCAGAAUUCAGUGAAUCAUCGAAUCUUUGAACGCAUAUUGCGCCCAUUAGUAUUCUAGUGGGCAGGACCGUUCGAGCGUCAUUUCGACCCUUAAGCCUUAGUUGCUUAGUGUUGGGAGCCUACGGCAACGUAGCUCCUCAAAGUUAGUGGCGGAGUUGGUUCACACUCUAGACGUAGUAAUUUUUUAUCUCGCCUAUUAGUUGGACUGAUCCCCUGCCGUAAAACCCCCAACUUAUCAAGGUUGACCUCGAAUCGGUUCAGACAAACUCGCUAAAUUGAAGCAUCUUAGUCAGCGAAGGAAAAGAAACCAACAGGGAUUGCCCUAGUAACGGCGAGUGAAGCGGCAACAGCUCAAAUUUGAAAUCUGGCCCUCGGGUCCGAGUUGUAAUUUGUAGAGGAUGCUUUUGGCGCGGUGCCUUCCGAGUUCCCUGGAACGGGA
rnacentral:rRNA from 1 species